rnacentral:rRNA from 1 species
AUUGAACGCUGGCGGCAUGCCUAACACAUGCAAGUCGAACGGCAGCACGGCAGUAGCAAUACUGUGGGUGGCGAGUGGCGGACGGGUGAGGAAUACGUCGGAAUCUGCCCAGUCGUGGGGGAUAACUAGCCGAAAGGUUAGCUAAUACCGCAUACGACCGAGAGGUGAAAGCGGGGGACCGCAAGGCCUCGCGCGAUUGGAUGAGCCGACGUCGGAUUAGCUAGUUGGAGGGUAAAGGCCCACCAAGGCGACGAUCCGUAGCUGGUCUGAGAGGAUGAUCAGCCACACUGGAACUGAGACACGGUCCAGACUCCUACGGGAGGCAGCAGUGGGGAAUAUGGACAAUGGGNGCAAGCCUGAUCCAGCAAUGCCGCGUGUGUGAAGAAGGCCUUGGUGUAA